UGCCUAACCUGCUCAACAGGAUUCACAAUUUUGUUCCACAAAUGGCUCACAAGUAUGGGUUUGAGUUCCUACUUUACACACAUAUAUCAUAAAAUUAUCCAAUUAAACUAACAUAAAAGAGUUAUGCUUAUAAACAUCUCUCUAAUGCAAGCUUGAACUUGAGAUUCAUAUAGACAAAUCUUGGUAAAUAUCAGGUCCACAUAAACUAAAAAUUAGACCACUAAUGGAAUAAACAGGUGAAUGCACUUACCAAUCCUGUGUAGUAUCAUUUUC